rnacentral:rRNA from 1 species
AGUGAACGCUGGCGGUAGGCCUAACACAUGCAAGUCGAACGGCAGCACAGUAAGAGCUUGCCCUUACGGGUGGCGAGUGGCGGACAGGUGAGGAAUACAUCGGAAUCUACUUUUUCGUGGGGGAUAACGUAGGGAAACUUACGCUAAUACCGCAUACGACCUACGGGUGAAAGCAGGGGAUCUUCGGACCUUGCGCGAUUGAAUGAGCCGAUGUCGGAUUAGCUAGUUGGCGGGGUAAAGGCCCACCAAGGCGACGAUCCGUAGCUGGUCUGAGAGGAUGAUCAGCCACACUGGAACUGAGACACGGUCCAGACUCCUACGGGAGGCAGCAGUGGGGAAUAUUGGACAAUGGGCGCAAGCCUGAUCCAGCCAUACCGCGUGGGUGAAGAAGGCCUUCGGGUUGUAAAGCCCUUUUGUUGGGAAAGAAAAGCAGCAGGUUAAUACCCCGCUGUUCUGACGGUACCCAAAGAAUAAGCACCGGCUAACUUCGUG